rnacentral:rRNA from 1 species
AUUGAACGCUGGCGGCAGGCUUAACACAUGCAAGUCGAGCGGGGUGAUGGUGCUUGCACUAUCACUUAGCGGCGGACGGGUGAGUAAUGCUUAGGAAUCUGCCUAUUAGUGGGGGACAACAUCUCGAAAGGGAUGCUAAUACCGCAUACGUCCUACGGGAGAAAGCAGGGGAUCACUUGUGACCUUGCGCUAAUAGAUGAGCCUAAGUCGGAUUAGCUAGUUGGUGGGGUAAAGGCCUACCAAGGCGACGAUCUGUAGCGGGUCUGAGAGGAGGAUCGGCCAACUUGGGACUGGGACACGGCCCAGAUUCCGCGGGUAGCCAGAAGGGGGGAAUAUUGGACAUGGGGGGAACCCUGAUCCAGCCAUGCCGCGUGUGUGAAGAAGGCCUUAUGGUUGUAAAGCACUUUAAGCGAGGAGGAGGUUCUUUUGGUUAAUACCCAGAAUGAGUGGACGUUACUCGCAGAAUAAGCACCGGCUAACUCUGUGCCAGCCGCCGCAGUAA